UACGGGGGGAGCAAGCGUUGUUCGGAUUUACUGGGCGUAAAGGGCGCGUAGGCGGUAGCACAAGUCAGUUGUGAAAUCUCGGAGCUUAACUUCGAAACUGCAUUCGAUACUGCCGUGCUUGAGGACUGGAGAGGAGACUGGAAUUCACGGUGUAGCGGUGAAAUGCGUAGAUAUCGUAAGGAAGACCAGUGGCGAAGGCGGGUCUCUGGACAGUUCCUGACGCUGAGGCACGAAGGUCAGGGGAGCAAACGGG
rnacentral:rRNA from 1 species